rnacentral:rRNA from 1 species
UGGGGGAUAUUGCACAAUGGAGGAAACUCUGAUGCAGCAACGCCGCGUGAAGGAUGAAGGUCUUCGGAUUGUAAACUUUUGUACUUGGGGACGAUAAUGACGGUACCCAAGCAGCAAGCUCCGGCUAACUACGUGCCAGCAGCCGCGGUAAUACGUAGGGAGCAAGCGUUGUCCGGAUUUACUGGGUGUAAAGGGUGCGUAGGCGGCCAUACAAGUCAGUUGUGAAAACUAUGGGCUCAACCCAUAGCCUGCAAUUGAAACUGCGUGGCUUGAGUGAAGUAGAGGUAGGUGGAAUUCCCGGUGUAGCGGUGAAAUGCGUAGAGAUCGGGAGGAACACCAGUGGCGAAGGCGACCUACUGGGCUUUAACUGACGCUGAGGCACGAAAGCAUGGGUAGCAAACAGGAUUAGAUACCCUGGUAGUCCAUGCUGUAAACGAUGAUUACUAGGU